UGGUCCAGACUUUGAUCCUGGCUCAGGAUGAACGCUAGCUACAGGCCUAACACAUGCAAGUCGAGGGGAAACGGCAGCUUAGCUUGCUAAGCUGGACGUCGACCGGCGCACGGGUGAGUAACGCGUAUCCAACCUGCCCCACGGUGAGGGAUAACCCGCGGAAACGCGGCCUAAUACCUCAUGGUCUCCGAGUUUGCCAUCAACCUUGGAGUAAAGAUUCAUUGCCGUGGGAUGGGGAUGCGUCUGAUUAGCUUGUUGGCGGGGCAACGGCCCACCAAGGCUACGAUCAGUAGGGGUUCUGAGAGGAAAGCCCCCCACAUUGGAACUGAGACACGGUCCAAACUCCUACGGGAGGCAGCAGUGAGGAAUAUUGGUCAAUGGGCGAGAGCCUGAACCAGCCAAGUAGCGUGCAGGAAGACGGCCCUAUGGGUUGUAAACUGCUUUUAUGCGGGGAUAAAGCGGGCGACGUGUCGCCCUUUGCAGGUACCGCAUGAAUAAGGACCGGCUAAUUCCGUGCCAGCAGCCGCGGUAAUACGGAAGGUCCGGGCGUUAUCCGGAUUUAUUGGGUUUAAAGGGAGCGCAGGCCGGGUAUUAAGCGUGUUGUGAAAUGUAGGCGCCCAACGUCUGCACCGCAGCGCGAACUGGUGCCCUUGAGUACGCACGACGUUGGCGGAAUUCGCCGUGUAGCGGUGAAAUGCUUAGAUAUGGCGAAGAACUCCGAUUGCGAAGGCAGCUGACGGGAGCGCUACUGACGCUCAUGCUCGAAAGCGCGGGUAUCGAACAGGAUUAGAUACCCUGGUAGUCCGCGCGGUAAACGAUGGAUGCCCGCUAUUUGCGCAUUAGCGCAAGUGGCCAAGUGAAAACGUUAAGCAUCCCACCUGGGGAGUACGCCGGCAACGGUGCAACUCAAAGGAAUUGACGGA
rnacentral:rRNA from 1 species